rnacentral:rRNA from 1 species
CCUACGGGAGGCAGCAGUGGGGAAUAUUGGGCAAUGGGCGCAAGCCUGACCCAGCAACGCCGCGUGAAGGAAGAAGGCUUUCGGGUUGUAAACUUCUUUUCUCAGGGACGAAGCAAGUGACGGUACCUGCGGAAUAAGCCACGGCUAACUACGUGCCAGCAGCCGCUGUAAUACGUAGGUGGCAAGCGUUAUCCGGAUUUACUGGGUGUAAAGGGCGUGUAGGCGGGAAAGCAAGUCAGAUGUGAAAACCAUGGGCUCAACCUGUGGACUGCAUUUGAAACUGUUUUUCUUGAGUACUGGAGAGGCAGACGGAAUUCCUAGUGUAGCGGUGAAAUGCGUAGAUAUUAGGAGGAACACCAGUGGCGAAGGCGGUCUGCUGGACAGCAACUGACGCUGAGGCGCGAAAGCGUGGGGAGCAAACAGGAUUAGAUACCCGAGUAGUC